rnacentral:lncRNA from 1 species
AUUUCUCACAUUUUUCGUGAGGGCAACAGAUCGGCGGAUUUUUUGGCUUCUCAAGCUAGGGAAGAGGGUUUUUGGCCUCAUGCCAUUGAUGGUUUAAAUGAUUUUGUCAAGGAGGAUGUUUCUAUUCCCUAUUUUACUCGUUUCGCUUAAUUUUUUUGGGUUUUUUUUUCUCUUCGUUCUGGAUCGGUUUUGAGCCGGGAGGCCUAAGGGUAAUGGUUCGGCCGGAAUCCUUGAGACCUCCUAACUCAGCUCUGUCAACCUUGGUCCUUGACGAGUACUCUUUUUCCUCU